rnacentral:rRNA from 1 species
GAGCACGUAGGUGGGUUUGUAAGUCAGAUGUGGAAGCCUCCUGUUCAACGGGAGAAUUGCAUCUGAAACUACUGAUCUUGAGUGUAGGAGGGGAGAAUGGAACUUCUGGUGGAGCGGUGAAAUGCGUAGAUAUCAGAAGGAACGCCGGCGGCGAAAGCGAUUCUCUGGCCUAUUACUGACACUCAGUGUGCGAAAGCUAGGGGAGCAAACGGGAUUAGAUACCCCGGUAGUCCUAGCCGUAAACGAUGGGCACUAAGUAGAGGGGUUUU